GAUGAACGCUGGCGGCGUGCCUAAUACAUGCAAGUCGAGCGAAUGGAUUAAGAGCUUGCUCUUAUGAAGUUAGCGGCGGACGGGUGAGUAACACGUGGGUAACCUACCCAUAAGACUAGGAUAACUCCGGGAAACCGGGGCUAAUACCGGAUAACAUUUUGAACCGCCUGGUUCGAAAUUGAAAGGCGGCUUCGGCUGUCACUUAAGGAUGGACCCGCGUCGCAUUAGCUAGUUGGUGAGGUAACGGCUCACCAAGGCAACGAUGCGUAGCCGACCUGAGAGGGUGAUCGGCCACACUGGGACUGAGACACGGCCCAGACUCCUACGGGAGGCAGCAGUAGGGAAUCUUCCGCAAUGGACGAAAGUCUGACGGAGCAACGCCGCGUGAGUGAUGAAGGCUUUCGGGUCGUAAAACUCUGUUGUUAGGGAAGAACAAGUGCUAGUUGAAUAAGCUGGCACCUUGACGGUACCUAACCAGAAAGCCACGGCUAACUACGUGCCAGCCGCCGCGGUAA
rnacentral:rRNA from 1 species